UAAAUAGUUAACUUUGAAACUGCGAAUGGCUCAUUAUAUCAGUUAUAGUUUAUUUGAUGAAGAAUACUAAUUGGAUAACCGUAGUAAUUCUAGAGCUAAUACAUGUAUAAAGUCUUGUAGACUGCAUUUAUUAGAAUGAAAACCAUAGGUUUCGGCCUAUUCGUGAGUAAUAAUAACUAAUCAUAUCGUAUGCUUAUGUAACGAUGUGUCUUUCAAGUUUCUGCCCUAUCAGCU
rnacentral:rRNA from 1 species